GUACGAGAGGACCGGGAUGGACGCACCGCUGGUGCACCGGUUGUCAUAUCCAUGGCAUAGCCGGGUAGCCAAGUGCGGACGGGAUAAACGCUGAAGGCAUCUAAGCGUGAAGCCCCCCUCAAGAUGAGAUAUCUUUCAAGACCCCUCGAAGACCACGAGGUUGAUAGGGCAGAGGUGGAAGUGUGGCAACACACGCAGCUGACUGUUACUAAUAGGUCGUACACUUGAUCAC
rnacentral:rRNA from 1 species